rnacentral:misc_RNA from 1 species
GGAAGUAAAAGUCGUAACAAAGGUUUCCGUAGGUGAACCUGCGGAAGGAUCAUUAUCGUACAAAAUGUGAGGGGCAUGCGAGGGCUGUCGCUGACCCAAAAGUCGUGCACGCCCGAGUGUGUCCUCUUGCAUAAUAAUCCAUCUCACCCUUUGUGCAUCACCGCGUGGGCACCCUUCGGGAUCAUCUCGGAGGGGGGCUCGCGUUUUCACACAAACCCCCCUUUUAAAAGUGUAGAAUGACCACAUUUAUGCAAUCAAUACAACUUUCAACAACGGAUCUCUUGGCUCUC